CGCUCAUCCAGAGGGGCAGAGGGACACGGCCCGAUGAAGCCCCGGCAACCCUCCAGCCGGUCUCGUACCGAUCGCCGUCGCGCGGUCGCCACCGCGAGGCUCCCGGCUCGGGAAGGUGCCAAUUCCGUCUCACGGCGAGAUGCGUCGUGGGGAAGAUGAGGA
rnacentral:ncRNA from 2 species